ACGAAUGGAAAAAAUACCAAAGGCCACUGAAAAAGUUUAUUGAAGUUUAUUAAAGUUUAUCCUUUCUGCCUUUACUUGUUUACUAGUAUAGUUUUACUAAACUUGCCAUUGUUUACUGUUGACACCAGAUUGCUGUGAUGUUCCUCAGUGACGCUGGAUAAAUGUAAAUGUGCUGGGUAAUGUGUGUCUUUGUCUGUAGGCAGAGGGAAGAGUUCACUGAUGGUUUGCUGGUGUUCCUGAGUAACAGUGGGUCAGUGGUUAAGGAGUCAGACUGUGGGUGAGAAGGUUGCAGGUUCGAUUCCAGGUCAGAGCGGGUUGUGUUUGUUCAGACUGUGGCUGGUCCCAGUGUGGCUGUGAGCUGAUCAGUGCUAUAGUCCUGGACGCCACACAGAGUGAUGCUGGUUCCUGCCGACAGGGCCUGUCGAGGCCUCGGGUUCCCUGUGCGAUGGUGCCACACACAUGUUCGGAUGAACUGCUGCUUACCUUUAUUUCCUUCUACAUGCAGCUGACUUCCAGUUCAUCGCUGUCUCUGGAGCUUCAGCUUGCCAAGCUCUCCAGUGCAGGACGUAAUGAGCACGCCACGGUUGUUCAAGAGACUCUGGAAAGAACUGGCACAUGAGGGAGUCGUGAGAGACGAGCUGGAGAAAGAACUGGCCGAUCAGAUCAGCAUCAUCUCAGAGAAAGGUCUCCUUUAUGCUGCCUGAAGUGAAUGAGAUAAAAUGUGGUGCUCUAAUGUGAUGUUGGUUGAAUUUGUCUCUUUUUUUAUGCACACAGAGGGUCUGAUUUCACAGUUGCAGGACAAGGUGAAGCGAAUGGUUAGGGAACAAGGAGCGCUGACGAAGCAUCAUAAAGCGGGAAUAAAGGACACAUUUGGGUUUACAGUAAUUAUUUGAAUAAAAAUUUUUUUCUGCAGAGUGCAUGAGGUUGUAAAGCAAUGCCAAGAAUUAAAACUGAAAACACUCAGUAAGAGAGAAAGACUGAUGUACUAACAAAGGAGAACCAAGCUUUUACUGCUCAGGUCAGAUACUAUGUUUUCCCCUCCUUUCUGUUUUUCUAACCUGUUUAAAACGGAUUCCUCUUUCACACUUGGCCCAUCAGGCUCGAAACACCUUCACUCAGCUGGCGAGAGCCCAGGAGGAAGUUGCCAAACUUACACUGGCUCACGAAUCGGCACAAGCUGCAUCAAAUGAUUGGGGCCCAGCAUGGAGGUGAGUAUGGAGGACUAUAAGUGAUGCUUAGAACUAUGAAAUCAAUUGAAUAAAUUCAAGUAAAAAUGGAAAUAAAAUAUUUUUUAGAUAGACAAAUUGAUAGCCGUAUUUAAAACUUUGAUUCAUGCUUUAAAAUGUUGCUUUUUACUUAUUUUAUUUUUUACCUUUUUUAAAUUGUGAAUCAAAUAUUUUUCCCUUUUAAAAAAUAUGAGUCUCAGUGAUUUUCAUUAGCAGAUCAUUUUGGGUUUUGUCCACAUAAAUAUCAGCAUCUGCACCAAAUUGCAUAUUUUUGCUCAAUUUGGGCCUUUGAAAAUUAAUAUGAGCGCCAUAUUCUACUAUAUGAGCCAUAAAAGCCUGAUGAACUAGAUACUGUAUGUACUCAACAAAAACACAUGCAAACUUUAUAUUUUGUCUAAAGGUUCAGUAAUCUAUUUUAUCUCUUUUGAGUGAAGUGUAAAUGUGCGAUCCUUUAGUAGCAGUGCAUUGGUACAGAUGAUGCAAGGAAGUUAGCGAGCUGCAUCUCUCAGACAGUGACGCUUAGGAACGCUAACACAACUUCAAACUCUCAGGUAAGGAACUUUAUAUAUUUUUAGGGGAAGUCGUGGCCUAAUGGUUAGAGAGUCUGACUCCCAAUCGAAGGGUUGUAAGUUCGAGUCUCGGGCUGGCAGGAAUUGUGGGUGGGGGGAGUGCAUGUAAAGUUCUCUCUCCACCUUCAAUACCAUGACUGAGGUGUCCUUGAGCAAGGCAUCGAACCCCCAACUGCUCCC
ensembl:lncRNA